rnacentral:rRNA from 1 species
GACGAACCGUGCAAACGUUGUUCGGAUUCACUGGGCUUAAAGGGCGCGUAGGCGGGCCGCAAAGUCAGGGGUGAAAUCUUUCAGCUCAACUGGAAAAGUGCCUUUGAUACUGGCGGCCUCGAGGGAGGUAGGGGCGUGCGGAACUUCCGGUGGAGCGGUGAAAUGCGUAGAUAUCGGAAGGAACGCCGGUGGCGAAAGCGGCGCGCUGGACCUCUUCUGACGCUGAGGCGCGAAAGCCAGGGGAGCAAACGGG